GAGGUGUUGGACCCUAUAAAGUCCAAUUAUAUGGCUGAUUUCUGUUGGCCCAAAACCUCAAGGCCGUGACUCCGUCGUUCAGAAGUAAGACUAGAGCAGACGACAGGGGACCAGGUCACCAAACAAAACUCAAAAGCAAGCAUCCGCCGGAGAAAUCUCAAAUUUCUACAGUGCUCUGCUCCACGUCCACCCUCUCCUUCUUUUGACUUUUUACAAAGAAUCUCUCUUCUUGAUCUUUCAAACAAAGGAACAGAACAGGGUUAAGGAAACGAGGAGAAGAAGGGGAUGGGGGUAGCAGUGGUGGGCAUGGAUUCACUGAGCGAGAGAGCCGCUAUGAUGAGAGAGUCGCUGCAAAAGAGCCAGACCAUCACUGACAAAGUCGUCUCCAUACUUGGCUCCUUUGACCACCGCCUCUCUGCCCUCGAGACUGCCAUGCGUCCUACUCAGAUUAGAACACAUUCUAUUAGGAAAGCUCACGAGAAUAUCGACAAGACUUUGAAGGUUGCUGAGGUUUUACUGGCCCAAUUCGAUCUUUCUCGUCAGGCGGAGACAAAAAUACUUAGAGGGCCACAUGAGGACUUGGAGAGUUAUCUAGAAGCAAUCGGUCAACUAAGAGGCAACAUUCAGUUUUUUAGCAGCAAGAAAGGCUUUAAAAGUAAUGAUGGGGCGCUCAACAAUGCAAACAAUCUACUCGCAAAGGCUAUUUCAAAGCUAGAAGACGAGUUCAAGAAGCUAUUAUUGUCUUACAGUAAACCUGUGGAGCCUGAUCGUCUUUUCGAUGGCCUUCCAAACUCAUUGAGACCAUCUUCGGAAUCUCCUGGGCAUCAGGGCGACUCUAAUGGCAAGAAUCCUUCCAAUAACCACUCUGAGCACCAGAAAAGUAACUUAGAAAAUGCUGUUUACACUCCUCCAACCCUUAUACCACCACGGAUCCUACCAUUGCUUCAUGAUUUGGCUCAGCAAAUGGUUCAAGCUGGUCACCAACAGCAGUUACUCUUAAUUUACAGGGAUACCCGCUCUUCUGUUUUGGAAGAAAGCCUUCAAAAAUUGGGAGUUGAAAAGCUUAGCAAAGAAGAUGUUCAGAAGAUGCAAUGGGAGGUCUUAGAGGCCAAAAUUGGGAAUUGGAUUCACUUCAUGCGUAUUGCUGUCAAACUGCUUUUUGCUGGAGAGCGUAUAGUUUGUGAUCAAAUAUUUGAAGGCUUUGAUUCUCUCACUGAUCAGUGUUUUUCUGAGGUUACUUCAAGUAGUGUUUCGGUGCUACUUAGCUUUGGGGAUGCGAUUGCCAAAAGCAAGAGAUCCCCUGAGAAGUUAUUUGUACUUUUGGACAUGUAUGAGAUAAUGCGGGAGCUUCAUUCUGAGAUUGAGUUGAAAUUCAAGGGAAAAGCUUGCACUGAAAUAAGAGAAGCAGCCUUUGGUUUGACAAAACGGCUUGCACAGACAGCUCAAGAGACUUUUGGGGAUUUUGAAGAAGCUGUUGAAAAAGAUGCAACUAAAACUGCUGUAUUGGAUGGAACUGUCCAUCCUUUGACAAGUUAUGUCAUUAACUACGUGAAGUUUUUGUUCGACUACCAGUCAACCUUGAAGCAACUUUUCCAAGAAUUUGAUAACAAAGAUGGAACAGGUUCACAGUUGGCCUCUGUAACAAUGAGAAUAAUGCAGGCCCUUCAAACCAAUUUGGAUGGAAAAUCCAAGCAGUAUAAAGAUCUUGCUUUGACCCAUUUAUUUCUCAUGAAUAAUAUUCACUAUAUGGUCAGAUCUGUACGCAGGUCAGAGGCCAAGGAUUUGUUAGGGGAUGAUUGGGUGCAAAGACACAGGAGGAUAGUGCAGCAGCAUGCAAAUCAAUACAAAAGGAAUGGUUGGGCAAAGAUUCUUCAGUGCCUCUCCAUCCAAGGCCUAGCCUCGUCUGGGGGUGGGAGUUCAGUAGGUGUUGAUGGAGGAAAUAGUAGUGGAGUUUCAAGAGCGCUGGUCAAAGAGAGGUUCAAGACAUUCAAUAUGCAAUUUGAGGAACUUCAUCAAAAGCAAUCUCAGUGGGCAGUUCCUGACACUGAAUUGCGAGAGUCUCUCAGGCUUGCCGUUGCAGAAGUCUUGUUGCCGGCCUACAGAUCUUUUGUAAAACGUUUUGGGCCACUUAUUGAGAAUGGAAAGAACCCUCAAAAGUACAUCAAGUACUCGGCAGAGGAUCUUGAACGAAUGUUGGGUGAAUUUUUUGAGGGAAGGAACUUGAACGAACCCAGGCGGUAGAUUUGAACCAUUUCUCAGCGUGUUUCUGAUAAGGCCGACCAUUGACCUUUGGUAUGGUGGUACGUAUGUCACUCCUUUACUGGAGAGUCGCGGUUCAGUUAUGGUGGUCACAUGUAUGUGCCUCUGAGUGCUGGUGAAAAAAAAAAUAAAGAAAUCAGAUUAGAAUGUUUGCAUUUGCUUUGUAAAAUUCUGAAUAAUGGGGUAUCUGUCUCCAUUCUCUCCUAAGAGCUUCUUGUGCAGUUUGGUGUGGCAUUGUUCGAGGCUUGUACAUGUAAACAGAUACUUCGGUUUCAAAGUGUUCCGAAACAGCGUCCCGACUACUCCCGGAGGUGGACAGAUGAAUGUGGAUUCUUUUGCCGAAGGAAAACUAGCAAUGGUUAUUUGAAGAUUACAACCCUAAUUAUAUAUAGACACUAAAUGAUUACUUCCAAUUGUAAUGUUAGGGUUUUUUUUUUUUCAUCUUCGUAUUUUGUUAAUGAUAUAGGGACACUUUUUUUUAUAAGGUAUUUUACAAUCAUGUUUAAAAUUGAGGUAUUUAUGUAAAUUGAUGUUAUUUUUAUGAGUUAUUUUAUAAAAAUACUCCUUAUUUAAAACAUGCU